rnacentral:tRNA from 1 species
AGGGAUAUAGCUCAACAGGUUAGAGCCGGCGACUUAUAAUCGCCAGAUGUGAGUUCAAGUCUCAAUAUCCCUA